AGAGUUUGAUCCUGGCUCAGAACGAACGCUGGCGGCGUGCCUAAUACAUGCAAGUCGUACGAGAAAGUCCUCGGGAUGAGUAGAGUGGCGCACGGGUGAGUAAUACAUGGGAACGUACCUUUAGGUCGGGGAUAACCACGGGAAACUGUGGCUAAUACCGGAUAGUCUCGCAAGAGUAAAGAUGGCCUCUGCAUAUGCUA
rnacentral:rRNA from 1 species